rnacentral:rRNA from 1 species
AGGACGAACGCUGGCGGCGUGCUUAACACAUGCAAGUCGAGCGAACCUUCGGGUUAGCGGCGAACGGGUGAGUAACACGUGGGCAACCUGCCCCAAGCUCUGGGAUAACCUCCGGAAACGGGGACUAAUACCGGAUAUGACUCUUGAAGACAUCUUCUUGAGUGGAAAGUUUUUCGGCUUGGGAUGGGCCCGCGGCCUAUCAGCUUGUUGGUGGGGUAACGGCCUACCAAGGCGACGACGGGUAGCCGGCCUGAGAGGGCGACCGGCCACACUGGGACUGAGACACGGCCCAGACUCCUACGGGAGGCAGCAGUGGGGAAUAUUGCGCAAUGGGCGAAAGCCUGACGCAGCGACGCCGCGUGAGGGAUGAAGGCCUUCGGGUUGUAAACCUCUUUCAGCAGGACGAAGCGAAAGUGACGGUACCUGCAGAAGAAGCACCGGCCAACUAACGUGCCAGCAGCCGC